AAAGCUCAACUCGACUCUCUGAGGUGGGAAUUCAGCUUUCCAUGAUUUUUUUUUUUAAAAUUCCCAUCUCUAUAUAUAUAUUUGUUUUCAAUAUGUAUUACAUGAUUGUUUACGGAUAAUGUUUAUUGUAAAGAUUAAAAUGUAAAUUUCGCUCUUGUAAAAUGUGUUCUUUUAUCACGUGGCCAGACUUCUGCGACAAUUUAUGAAAAGAAAGGAAAACAAUAGAAUUUUUUUCGUUCAUGUGUUUAUUUUUUUUUAAUAGUUAUUGCAUGGUAAUUAAGCCAUUAGGGGCCUUUCAGUUUGCUCGAAUUAUAAAUAAAAAAAAUAUCAUUCCAGUUUUUUUAAAGGAUGUUUCUAUUGGAACCAGUGUGGCUUACAUUUCUAUUGAAUAGCCAAGCAGUGGACAUGGUCAUGUUAACAUCUUUUGCUUACAUUUCCUAUUUAGAUUGUCAUAGUUUUUAAUGGCCUGUGC
rnacentral:misc_RNA from 1 species